rnacentral:rRNA from 1 species
CCUACGGGGGGCAGCAGUGGGGAAUAUUGCGCAAUGGGCGAAAGCCUGACGCAGCGACGCCGCGUGAGGGACGACGGCCUUCGGGUUGUAAACCUCUUUCGGCAGGGACGAAGGGAAACUGACGGUACCUGCAGAAGAAGCACCGGCCAACUACGUGCCAGCAGCCGCGGUAACACGUAGGGUGCAAGCGUUGUCCGGAAUUAUUGGGCGUAAAGAGCUCGUAGGCGGUCUGUCGCGUCGGCUGUGAAAACCCGGGGCUCAACUCCGGGCCUGCAGUCGAUACGGGCAGACUAGAGUGUGGCAGGGGAGACUGGAAUUCCUGGUGUAGCGGUGAAAUGCGCAGAUAUCAGGAGGAACACCGGUGGCGAAGGCGGGUCUCUGGGCCAUAACUGACGCUGAGGAGCGAAAGCGUGGGGAGCGAACAGGAUUAGAUACCCCGG